UCAAAUCCCCUGCCUUGGCUUCCUAAGUACUGGGGUGCCAGCAUUCCUGAAGGGUGUGGUCCUUGCAAAGCCUAAAUCAAGCCAGGUGUGGUGGUGCCCACCUGUAACCCCUGCACUUAGGAAGCUGAAGCAGGAGAAUGCGGAGUUGCAGACUAGCUGGUACCAGUCAGAGAGACCCUGUUCAUUGAAGAAGGAAGGGACUGAGCAAUUGCUCUGGGGAGAGGAAGCCAAAACCGGAAAUGAAGCCUUGCGGGCUCUUUGUGACUUAUCCAAGGUCUCUCUCUACAGAUACACCAGCCCAGAGCAAGGGAGGCUCCAGCAGCCCAGAGUCCUGGGCCCGGCCCUCUUGCAACCCCCAGGAAGCCAAGGAGCGUGAGUCCCCGUCCCCUGCAGCCAUGCAGCCUGUCCAGCUGCCCCGCCUGGCCUUGUCUCCACCCCUCCCUGCCCCUCCACCGCCACCCACGGCGCUGGCCCAAGUGGCACCCUCAUCUCCUAGCCCAACUCCUCCUCGGCCCACCUCAGCCCCAGAACAGUCCCUGGACUUCCUGCGGGCUCAGCAGGAGACUGCCAAUGCCAUCAGGGAGCUGGCUGGCACCCUCCGGCAGGGACUGGCCAAACUGAGCGAGGCCCUCAGCGCCCUGUUACCCCUUCUGCCGGGAACCCCAGCUGACCCGCAGCCCCCGCCCCCGCCGCCACCUCCGCCGCCACCUCCCAAGCCAGUCCUCCCACCACCUGCCCCCAAGGUGGAGCUGGCCCCAGAGCCUGUGUCUGUGGUAGCUGCUGUUGUGGAUGGGGCUGUAGUGGCAGCUAGGGGAGUGAUCAUCUCCCCUAGGAGCGAGGAAGGGGUGCCCAAACCACCCCCAGUCGCACCACUUCCCCUCCACGACUCACCCCCUCACAAAAGGAGGAAAGGCUUCCCUACGCGAAAGAGGCGGGGCCGCUGGAAGUCUCCGUGAAAUCUAACCCUGUCCACGCUCCUGCCUGCAACCCUCUCCCUGCUUGGCACAGUCGAGGAGGAAGAUGCUCUUUGCCUAUCCCAGCUGCACCCUGGCUUCCUGCUCAAGGGAAGUGAGCACCCCACUUCCUGUGCUAGUUAGUGCCUGAUUCUCUGGGUGAGUCCCCGGGCGGACUCCCUCAGCCCCUUUCUCUGGUACAGUGGUGUCCGCCCGACUGCCUCCUGUAACCCCAUCUUCUAAGCCAUCAAUUUUAUGUUACUAUAUUGCCCUUUGUGGGGUGGGAGAGGGAUCUCCUGGCUCUGCGACUUGCCCCUUUGCCGAAUAGUUACUGUUCUUGACUUGAAGAGAAGCAACGUGUGGGGACCUCCCCACUGCCCCAGCCCAGACUUCUUCGGAAGGGUUGGAAGUUGCUAGACAAAUCAGAAUGUAGAAGGUGGAGGAUUCUGAGGAGGAGGCAGCAGAAUUCUGACUGGGGAGGUAUAGGUUGGGUCCUCUGCCUCCCACGGCUGCAAGGUGUGUCUGACCUCUGGAGCUCAGCCCCUCCCCCCUUUCUCUUCAGUGCUGACAAGAUGUCAAUAAACUUAUUUUCAUACAAUUAA
rnacentral:lncRNA from 1 species